rnacentral:rRNA from 1 species
UACGGAGGGUGCGAGCGUUAAUCGGAAUUACUGGGCGUAAAGCGCGCGAAGGCGGUUUGUUAAGUCGGAUGUGAAAUCCCCGGGCUCAACCUGGGAACUGCACCCGAUACUGGACGACUUGAGUGAGAGAGAGGGAGGUAGAAUUCCACGUGUAGCGGUGAAAUGCGUAGAUAUGUGGAGGAAUACCGGUGGCGAAGGCGGCCUCCUGGCUCGACACUGACGCUGAGGUGAGAAAGCGUGGGGAGCAAACAGG